UGGGGAAUUUUGGACAAUGGGGGAAACCCUGAUCCAGCCAUGCCGCGUGGGUGAAGAAGGCCUUCGGGUUGUAAAGCCCUUUCGGCCGGGACGAAAUCGCACGGGUGAAUAUCCCGUGUGGAUGACGGUACCGGAAGAAGAAGCACCGGCUAACUACGUGCCAGCAGCCGCGGUAAUACGUAGGGUGCGAGCGUUAAUCGGAAUUACUGGGCGUAAAGCGUGCGCAGGCGGCCUCUUAAGCCAGAUGUGAAAUCCCCGGGCUUAACCUGGGAACUGCGUUUGGAACUGGGAGGCUAGAGUGUGGCAGAGGGGGGUGGAAUUCCCGGUGUAGCAGUGAAAUGCGUAGAUAUCGGGAGGAACACCAAUGGCGAAGGCAGCCCCCUGGGUUAACACUGACGCUCAUGCACGAAAGCGUGGGGAGCAAACAGG
rnacentral:rRNA from 1 species